rnacentral:rRNA from 1 species
AUUAAUUCGAUGCAACGCGAAAACCUUACUACCCUUGACAUGUCCGGAAUCCUGCAGAGAUGCGGGAGUGCCCGAAAGGGAAUCGGAACACAGGUGCUGCAUGGCUGUCGUCAGCUCGUGUCGUGAGAUGUUGGGUUAAGUCCCGCAACGAGCGCAACCCUUAUCAUUAGUUGCUACGCAAGGGCACUCUAAUGAGACUGCCGGUGACAAACCGGAGGAAGGUGGGGAUGACGCCAAGUCCUCAUGGCCCUUAUGGGUAGGGCUUCACACGUCAUACAAUGGUCGGUACAGAGGGUUGCCAACCCGCGAGGGGGAGCUAAUCCCACAAAGCCGAUCGUAGUCCGGAUCGCAGUCUGCAACUCGACUGCGUGAAGUCGGAAUCGCUAGUAAUCGUGGAUCAGCAUGUCACGGUGAAUACGUUCCCGGGUCUU